GCGCGGUGAAGGCUUUACCAUCUUUCGGCUGACUAUCUUGAUGCCAACUUUCUCAUACUGAGCGUGA
rfam:Nippostrongylus brasiliensis genome assembly, scaffold: NBR_contig0001079